rnacentral:piRNA from 1 species
UUUUAAGAAGGUGUCUAGGGAUGU